GUCCCAGUUCGGAUUGUAGUCUGCAACCCGACUACAUGAAGCUGGAAUCGCUAGUAAUCGCGGAUCAGAAUGCCGCGGUGAAUACGUUCCUGGGUCUUGUACACACCGCCCGUCACACCAUGGGAGUCGGAAAUGCCCGAAGCCGGUGACCCAACCCGAAAGGGAGGGAGCCGUCGAAGGCAGGUCGGAUGACUGGGGUGAAGUCGUAACAAGGUAAC
rnacentral:rRNA from 1 species